AUGCAGGUCUUCCACGACCUCAAGAAGCGGCAGGGGUGCAGCUCGGGCGCCAGCGCAACCCUGGCUCCUGACGGCCGCUCGCUCUGCCUCCUGCAGCUGGUCGAGAAUGCGCAAGCCGACGGCCUGCAGCUGCUGCUGCCGGCCGAGGAGGAACCGCCGGCCGAAGUAGCGCUUCCCCCGCUGGAUCCAAGCAUGCGUGGCCGGUGCAUGCCCAUCUCCGCCGACGGCCACAUAUGGGCCGUGUCCGCCACCUACUCUUCUUGCACCAGUUACUGCAUCCGAGUACAACGCCUGGUCAUUGAAGAGGAAGAGGGCGCAGCCGCACAACAUUGGGAGCAGGUCGGGAUCCCCUUGGUCCAACUUUGCAAAUUCGAGCCCUACCGUGGGAGCAUAUGGGGUCCUGACUUCCUCCAGGGCUACGCGGUGCUCCCUGGCCAUGGCCGUGAGGGGAGCACCCUCAUCCUGCUCUCCCUCCAAAACGGCCUUUUCUUCACUUUCAACUGUUCCUCCGCUGACUUGGGCUGGACCAAGGUAACCCAAACCUCAGACGCCAAGGACUACGUCCCUAUCCUUGGCCGUGGCCUCUAUGCACAAGAAAGCAAUGCCAUCUACAUGCUCCGCAAAGAUGCGAUCUAUGCAUACAAGCUGGGAUAUGAAGAGGGAAGUCUGAAGAUGGAUCCCCCUGUGGACAUUAUAUUUCCUUAUGUUGACAGAAGCACAGCCCAUGGCUUCCUCACCCAUCUGGGCUCUGGGGUCAUGUGCUCUGUCUUGAUGAGUGUGGGGCUCCCAUGCUGGCCAGACCACCUACACGCCAUUAUCACCACCUUCCACCUUGGUCCUGACCCCUCCCAUAUCAAGGUCCUGCACUCCACCUCCCGCCAGGUGGACAUGUUACCCAUGAAAGACAUCAAUGAAUUUGAAUUCUCCUUUCUCCAAGAGUAUAAGGAUGACAAGGUGCGUCAUCAAGUCCAUGAAGUUCAUGAUGCAGAGGAAGUCCAUGAAGAGGAAGUGCUUCAUGAUCCUUGCAGGCAUCUUUUACCACCAGGUCCUCCUGCUCCCUAUGUGAAGCCACAUAUGGACAAUGAGCUCUUGUUUAUCAUCUGCCAAGCUGGUUCACAAUCAUUUAUCUAUAAAACAAGUCUCAUGGAUCUGAGUCCAGAUCUGAGUUCAAGGUUAGGAAUAGCGACUCCUCUCAAGCCACAUUACAUUGUACAUGGAGAUGAUUGUGGUCCGAGGCAUUUUUUUCUCCUUGACUCAAAACUACAUGCUGUCUCGUUCCUAAAAGAUGGCAUGGAUGUGCUUAACCUGGACACCAGAUGUGAGCAUUUAGAUUUGCAAGCACGGCGGCCUGUUUCUCCUAUUGAUCCUUUUGUCAUGGUUAUCCAAGUUGGUAGGACAACUCUUGCUCUUACUGAAACUCUCCAAGUUUACCGUAAGGCCUUCCUUGUUUGUCCUCCUGGAUCCAUCUCAUGGGUGCGCUGCAUGACAGAUCACUCUAAUAUUCUUGACAGGAAGGUUAAGCUGUCCGGAUAUGUAGUAGUGAGUGAUAAUUCCUUUGUAGUCUGUGAUACUCUCACAUGUUCUUGUUUUCACUUUGACCUGGAUUCCAAGAAGUGGCAUCUUGUUAUGCCUUGGGCUCCAUGGGGAAAAUACCUGCCAAGGGAUAUGUCUAGAUACCGCUUUCUAAAUGGCAAAUGUGUAUUUGUGGAUGGUUUUAUCUACACAUGCUCAGGAAAAGGGCUUGCUGCUUAUGAACUAGUCGAUGAAGAUCAUUGUGUGUACCUAGAUAUCCCAAUAUUUUUGCCACUCUCAUGGGAAAGUGAAAAUUGGAAGACUGAAAGGAUGUGUUUGGAUUAUGCUGGCAAAGAUGUCAACUCGGGUGCCAUCUUGUUUUGGGUGGUGCAAGGUUUGCAAAUCAAGCACCGUGACCACCAUAAUACGUUAUGGAUCACAGCAGUGGAGGUUGAGACUGAGAAAACACCGAGGAAGAGCAUGAAACCGGUUGGAAUUAGGCAUGUAGUCUCUGCUACACGUCUCAUUGAUCAAGAGGAAACCAUCGAUCAAAAGGAAGUAAUCAGUACCAGAUGCUGUGCUCUCUCUUUCUGA
rnacentral:rRNA from 1 species